rnacentral:rRNA from 1 species
UACAUCCCUCUAGAGGAGCCUGUUCUGUAAUCGAUAAACCCCGAUAAACCUCACCAACUCUUGCUAAUACAGCCUAUAUACCGCCAUCUUCAGCAAACCCUAAAAAGGAAACAAAGUAAGCAAAAACAUAAAACAUAAAAACGUUAGGUCAAGGUGUAGCCUAUGAGUUGGAAAGAAAUGGGCUACAUUUUCUAGCAUAGAACACCAACGAAAAUUUUCGUGAAAUCGAAAAUAGAAGGAGGAUUUAGUAGUAANUUAAGAANAGAGAGCUU